ACAGCAAUUCGUUCUGUCGCUGUGUUGAUACGUGCAACACAGAGGAAAGUCCGGACAACAUAGAGCACCAUACUUCCUAACGGGAAGGACUUAUUUUGUAAAAAGUAAGUACAGAUAGUGCCACAGAAAAUAACCGCCUUUUGCAAAAAAGGUAAGGGUGAAAACGGGAGGUAAGAGCUUCCGCUGCAAGUGGGUAACUGCUUGUUGGGGUAAACCUUAUGGGUUGAAAGACCAUGUAAACCGAGGCUUGAGGGCUGCUCGUCCAAUCUCGGAGGGUAGGUCGAUAGAGGUGUUUAGUGAUAAACAUCCCAGAUAAAUGACAGAAAUGUUGAGCUAUCAACAUACAGAAUCCGGCUUAUAGAAUUGCUGUUUUU
rnacentral:RNase_P_RNA from 1 species